GUGACGCAAAUGACAAAGAAGCAGCAUACACACAAUUUGCUGCCCUAAUGUUGGUUGUCUCGUUCUGUGUGGUUGGUCACUGAGCCAGCUCAGGGGUAGGGAAUGCAUCAGGUCUAUUAAGUCCUGCUAGUUGGCAAGGGUUUCCUGCAAUCACACACCAAGACCAGUUGUGUGUCCUGCCUUGGGCUGGGAAAGAGGGUGGCUGAUGUGGCCGAAAGCUAUGUACUGGAGAAGCCUGCCUUCAAUUCAGCAAAUUACUGUAGUCACAUUACUUCACAUAAGAACCACUUGAGGUGAUUCUGCUAGCUAGAUAGACAAGCAAUUCUGCCUGCAUUAGCAAGAAAGGAAAUUCACUUGCAAACUCUUCAAAUGAAUGGCAUCAUGGAGAAGAGAAUUGGGAUUCAUAUUCAUAUUUCCAGCACAGUGUUUCUCUUUCAGGAGAGAUAUAUUUUAAAUUAAAGCUCUCCUCUCCUCCGCUGCUAUCUGUCAAACCUUUAUGUGAUAGUCAUGAGCAUGCAUAUCAUAACAGUUCCUGCAACCAUGUCUGCUUUGAAGCAGAGCCUUGAGAAACUCUUGCAGAGAAAUAAUGAGUACAUUCUUUCCAUUGGGAGGGUUAUGACACUUGCCCUAUGUAGUUGAAAUCAAAUCAAAUUAAUUUAUAUAGCCCUUCUUACAUCAGCUGAGUGCUGUACAGAAACCCAGCCUAA